rnacentral:lncRNA from 1 species
GUUUCAUAAGCUAAUACACAAAGAGUGGUGAGGUUUUCACAUUAUAGCUCUUGGGAUGGGGGAAGCAGAGACUACCGAUCAAAUCCGUUUUUACUAACAGCACCGUUGCACAAUUGUAACGCUAAAUUGGAUUUCAUAAUCCAAUUUUCAUAAACCAAUGGUUUCAUAAAGUAGAAAGUUCAGUGUGGCACAAGGUAAGGCGCUGCUCUUACCCAGCACUUAAAAGGAGCAUAGAAACAAACCCAAUCUUUGCACAGUCCCAGCCAGCCAGCUUCAUAAACUGUUACCUUUAGCCGCUGGAGCGAUACUCUACUUCCUAGAUAAAGUAAAAACAAUAACCUACACAUAGGCCGUGUUUUUAGGCCGGCUCUAGCACCUUCCCUUCCCUUCCCUUCCCUUCCCUUCCCUUCCCUUCCCUUCCCGGCCCCCGGAGGCAGCAGCCGCCCUCGGCGGAAGAUAUUUCUAGACUUGAAGCAAUUUACGUGCAAAAGCCAAUUAGCGCGUCUGCAAACGGACACAUUGAUCUCUGCUUUCUCUCCUUCCUUCCUUCCUUCCCGCCCGGCCCGCUUUCCCGGCCCCCGCCCCCGGGCCCGGGCCGACCCGCCGCCGCCACCAUGCCGCGGGGCCCCCUGGGUACUGUAGUUUUCGGCGGCGGCGCGGCGGAGGAUGCUUUCCCGCUCCUUAAAAUCCCCCUGAAGGAAAGCCCUGACCUAGUGGAAGAGUUGCCCGACUUCUUGGUGAGCCCUGCCUUUUGUGGAGGAUAAAGACUAAUGGCCGAUCGAGUGCUUGUGAUUGGCAGUGGAGGGAGAGAGCAUGCGCUGGCCUGGAAGUUGGCCCAGUCUCCACAUGUAAAACAUGUGUAUGUUGCUCCAGGAAAUGCAGGAACAGCUGACAAUGGAAAAAUUUCAAAUUCAGGUAAAAAUUAAAAAAUACCUUCUUAAAAUUUGCUAACUCAACAAGUAAGUUGUUCCAUUCAUCAAUCUGUUAAUAUGAAAAGAUUAUUAUUAUUACUA